AACGAACGCUGGCGGCAGGCUUAACACAUGCAAGUCGAGCGCCCCGCAAGGGGAGCGGCAGACGGGUGAGUAACGCGUGGGAAUCUACCCAUCUCUACGGAAUAACGCAUGGAAACGUGUGCUAAUACCGUAUACGUCCUUCGGGAGAAAGAUUUAUCGGAGAUGGAUGAGCCCGCGUUGGACUAGCUAGUUGGUGGGGUAAAGGCCUACCAAGGCGACGAUCCAUAGCUGGUCUGAGAGGAUGAUCAGCCACACUGGGACUGAGACACGGCCCAGACUCCUACGGAAGGCAGCAGUGGGGAAUAUUGGACAAUGGGCGCAAGCCUGAUCCAGCCAUGCCGCGUGAGUGAUGAAGGCCCUAGGGUUGUAAAGCUCUUUCACCGGUGAAGAUAAUGACGGUAACCGGAGAAGAAGCCCCGGCUAACUUCGUGCCAGCCGCCGCAGUAACAC
rnacentral:rRNA from 1 species